rnacentral:tRNA from 3 species
GCCGGAGUAGCUCAUUGGUAGAGCAGUGGAUUGAAAAUCCAUGUGUAGGCAGUCCGAUUCUGCCCUUCGGCACCA